AGCCCUUCUUUUUAUUAAAGGUGAUACCUGCCCAGUGAUCUAAUAAAUUAAACGGCCGCUGUAUUCUGACGGUGAUAAUGUAGGAAAAUAAAUAGUUAUUUAAUUGAUGAACGUAGAUGAAUGGUUUUACGAGGCUUCCACUGUCUUAAUUAUAAUUUAAGGAAAUUUGAAUAGUAGUUAAGAUUCUACUUAAGACUGUAAGACGAGAAGACCCUAUAAAGCUUAACUAUAAUUUAUUAAUAAUCCGUUUUGAUUAUAAAUUAAAACGGACUUAAUUAAUUUAUUUGUUAGUUUGGUUGGGGCAACAGCACUUUAUAAGUAAAGAGUGUAAGUAAAUAAAUAAAAAUUACUUUAUUGUUUAAUUUAUAAAUUUAACAAUCACAAAGUGGAUUAUAUUGACCUGUCAGUUUUAGAAAACAGAGCUGUCAAAAAGUAAAUAAAAGCUACUUUAGGGAUAACAGGUUAAUUUUUUCUUAGAGAAGCUAUCGAAGAAAAAGUUUGACACCUCGAUGUUGAAUUAAGUUACCCCAGUAAUGUAUCAGUUACUAAAGGUUGGUCUGUUCGACCAUGAAAAACUUA
rnacentral:rRNA from 1 species